rnacentral:rRNA from 1 species
AUGCAUAUCCUUCACCGACACCAACGGCGGCAGCCGCCGUCGUUCAUCGGAACGACCGGGCUAGAGGCGCGCGAGGGUGCGGAGGUCGACGGGGUGCACGUCGGAGGCGAGCCGGGCGACGUAGGCCCGCUGGCCGACGAGCACGUUGGCGGCCUCGGUGGGGUGGAAGGCGUCCCAGAAGAGGUACUCGUUGCGGUUGGGGCAGGGCGUCUGGAACGGCAGGCAGGUGACCUGCCCGUUGUUCCUCCCGACGCCGCAGCAGCCCCGGUUGGUCACCUUCAGGCCGUGGCCGCCGGGCGCCCGGAGGAUGUCGGAGAAGAUGCCGUCGAUGUUGAUGUAGGUGAAGUGCGCGCCGGGGAGGAGGCGGUUGAACUGGUCGACCAUGCCGACGAGCCGCUGGUUGAACAUGCGGACGGCGACGUUGAUCCAGUCGACGCAGGCCACGCCGUUGGCGCUCUGCGUGGCCAGCUCGUUGGGGCUGCACCCGACCUGCCCGACGCCGAUGAGCGCCACCUUGCGCGCCCCGUAGCUGUAGAGCACGCGCAGGAGCUGCGUGUAGCGCGCCGCCAGGUCGUCGGCGUACUGUGCCGGCGUGUAGCGGCUCCCCGUGUCGUAGAAGGCCGGCAUGAAGUAGUUGUUGAGGUAGUCGUUGCUGCCCAUGCCGACGGUGAAGAUGCACUGGCUGAGGUGGUUCGCCGCCGCGUCCUCGUCCCCCAGGAUGCUCACCAGCUGCUCCACCGCGCUCUGGUAGUUCUGCACCUGCCCGCUGAAGCUGAUGCGCCCACCCUCUGCUGCCCGGUCUCUUCCCGGAUGCCGGCGGCGGCGGAGGCGAAGUUGACGCCGGUGAGGAGCUGGUCGCUGGUCGCGCCGGCGAAGGGGGGGAUGAAGUCGUCGAAGCCCAGAAGCUUGGCUGCACCCAACGCAAAAACAGAGCAAGACUGA